rnacentral:tRNA from 1 species
GUCCCUGUAGCUCAACGGAUAGAGCGUAGCCCUGCGAAGGCUGAGAUCGAGGUUCAAUUCCUCGUAGGGACA